GUGGGGAAUUUUGGACAAUGGGCGCAAGCCUGAUCCAGCAAUGCCGCGUGCAGGAAGAAGGCCUUCGGGUUGUAAACUGCUUUUGUACGGAACGAAACGGUCCGGGUUAAUACCCUGGGCUAAUGACGGUACCGUAAGAAUAAGCACCGGCUAACUACGUGCCAGCAGCCGCGGUAAUACGUAGGGUGCAAGCGUUAAUCGGAAUUACUGGGCGUAAAGCGUGCGCAGGCGGUUUUGUAAGACAGGCGUGAAAUCCCCGGGCUCAACCUGGGAAUUGCGCUUGUGGCUGCAAGGCUGGAGUGCGGCAGAGGGGGAUGGAAUUCCGCGUGUAGCAGUGAAAUGCGUAGAUAUGCGGAGGAACACCGAUGGCGAAGGCAAUCCCCUGGGCCUGCACUGACGCUCAUGCACGAAAGCGUGGGGAGCAAACAGGAUUAGAUACCCGAGUAGUCC
rnacentral:rRNA from 1 species